ensembl:misc_RNA
CAGGUAACCCUCAAUGCUGAAGUCCUCUAGAUCAGAACAGGUACCACAUGGGCAGCAGCAGUAUGAGCUUACACAUUGUUCUAUGAAUGUGCCUUAUCCCCGAUCUGGAGGGGCCAUCUCUAGGGGUGUGAGAAUAGGUCAAUCUCCAGGUCCAUUCAUUCUUCAGCCUCU